rnacentral:lncRNA from 1 species
AUACAAGGUAUUGAUCCUGAGUGUGUCUGUGAGGGUGUUGCCAAAAGAGGUUAACAUGUGAGUCAGUGGGCUGGGAAAGGCAGACCCACCCCUAAUCUGGGUGGGCACAAUCUAAUCAGCUGCCAGGUCGGCUAGAAUAUAAACAGGCAGAAAAAUGUGAAAAGAGAGACUGGCCUAGCUUCUCAGCCUACACCUUUCUCCCGUGCUGGAUGCUUCCUGCCCACCAACAUCAGACGCCAAGUUCUUCAGUUUUGGAACUCAGAUUGGCUCUCCUGGCUCCUCAGCCUGCAGAUGGCCUAUUGUGGAACCUUGUGAUUUUGAAAUAUAACCCAGGUAACAACCACCCAGAUCAAGAAAGAGAGUAUUACUAGCACCCCAGAAGCCCCACAAAGAGGUUCUCAGUCACCACCCCUCUCAAAGAACUUUGGUCUAUUUUUCUGGUGAAUAAUAUGUAGCAGGACUGGUACCAGAACCAGGUCAUCCAGAGAUGUUCUGUCUGCUGCCAUCAACUCGGGACCUCAGAAGGUGGUACUCCUCCCCUAAAGGUGAAUUAUUUUAGCUAAAAAAAAACAAAGAGAAAUCCUUAUUUCUAGAUGAAAUAAGAAUCAACAGGAAAUUCCAGGAGAUUUCAGUUACAUCAGUUGUUACAGUUGGUACAUAAUGAUGUAACAUCUGUUCCAAAGAAAACAGCAAGUAUGUAUUUAAUACACUUUUACGAAGUCCCCAUGUUUUC